rnacentral:sRNA from 1 species
UACGGCCAAAUGCUCAGAGCCAUCAGUGUCCCUUUUGUAACUGAGUGUGAUUUGAGUGUUUCAGAAGUCAGAAGGCACAAGGUGGCUGUGGCUAACAGCAGGUCCUCCCCUGGCGCAUGGCUCUGGCUGCCAGUGUUAUUGAUUAGCCCACACUAACACUUCUGGAUGACUGCUAAGUCUCUGCUACAAAGCUAUGGAAAUAGUUUCUCAGCUCUAAUUUUCUUUUAUGGCCCUACCUUUCUUCUCAAGAUGUUUUUCUUCAGGGCCAGGAUGGCUAUUUGUAGUUUGUUUGUAUUUGGGUGAAAAGUCCUCCCUUAGAUUUUCUUUCAGAUACCUCUGGAGCAAAAGUAAAUGAUCGGGGCCUUUGGGUUGACCUCGAUAAGAAGAUAAAAGUAGCAUUCCCAAACCUGUCUGACCGUGGGUAACCAUUAACUGUCAAGCAGGAGAGGAAUUUCCCACGACCUCAGACUAUCACAGAAAUGGAGGCGCUAGGAGGAGUGCUGCCUUGCAGGAAUGACUCCAAACAGCAACAAAUGUUAUCAAGAGGGAGAGAUUGCAGCAACCCAGGCCUGUGUCAGCUGGAGACACAGCUUGUGUCCGAGGUCAACAAGAACAACUGGAGGCCAGGGAGGAGCCAGGAAGCUUUUCUGGCCCAGAAAAUUGAGAAGCAGGGUAUAAAGAUCAUAAGGAGGGCUUCCCUGUUUGUUUCUGUGUUGGUGAGACCCCACCAUGACAUCUCUCAAGUCGAACAGCCACCACUUUAAGAGAAACAUGGAGGCUUCAAAGCAAAACAAGAAUCACAAAGAUGAAGGUGGUGUUUUUGUUUUGUUCUGAAAAAGAUUAGACGAUGGAAUUACAGAAAGGAUGAUAAUAGAGAAAUGGCCAACAGCACACAGAACGUCAACCACAAACCAAGAUGAAUCCGACUUAACCUGCAUCGUGAAGUCCUGCCACCGGCAGACGUCAGGUUUAUUAAUCAUUAAAAUGAGUUGCCUGUGAGGACGUCCAAUUUCCUGUUCUGAAAGUAUAAUUUAUUACUACAGAAAUAUGCUUCCGGGUUUGUGAAUAUUGACAACAAGCAUCGCAGGGUUUUUCUUUUCUUUUUUCAUUUAUUUUUAUUUAUCUAUGUGUGUGAACUCUGGGUGAGUGUGUGCUACAUGUGUGUAUGCCCAGGAAAGUCAGAUUAGUGCCUCAGAUCAUAUGGAACUGGAGUUAGAGGUGCUAAGGGCAGAACACAGGUCCUCUGGGAGAGCGAUAAGCACUCUUAGCUACUGAGUCAUCUUGCUAAGCACUAGGGCAAAGUUUUAAGAUGUUAGAGACUAAGUUAUCCACAGCCGAGAAAAGUGAGGAAUUCAUCUUACUCCAAAAUGCAAAGCAAAGGACUUUGAGUAUCUCUUCAAGGGCAGAAGCAAUCUGGAAAGAAAGAGUAACAAUGUUGAAUCAAAAACAAAGUUGUCUCUUAACUAGCUCAUGGAACAGGCAGGAAGAAGCCCAACAGCUGAGAAAUGAGCCUCCCGAAUUUUCAAACCGAUGCUCACCUAGAGGAGUAAGUUCAUUUAAAGACAUUUGAAAUCGAGGUUUCAUCAUAGACUUGUGACCACGAACUACGUCCUUCAAAACUGUGAGCCAAGUUUCUUCUGGGAUGCUGUUUUCUUCUCUGCAACCUCCUCUUCUGACUUCAGGACAUUUGUGAAUACAGUGAAGAUCACCUCAGUGCGACAGGGGGCCUCACAUACAGACUAACCCAGCCAUGAGCUUUGUCCUGUUACUGCAAGAUCAGACUGUUAGAUGAGAAAAAUGGAAUGUAGUUCUGUUUUCCCAGUUGAGAGUAGAGAACUGACAAAAUUUAUGAAUGAACACUGCACACUAAAGUAAGUUUCAAGACUGUAAUUAACCAGAAAUAUAUGAAUUAAUGUGGAGAUUAGGAUUGUCCUUAGAUGGCUGAGGUACAAAUUCUGUCUUACUCAGUCCAUUUUCUAUUGUUAUAGCUAAGUACUUGGGACUCAGUGACUGGUAAUGAACACAAGUUUAUUUAACUUGUAAAAGCACAAAAGUCCAUGGGUAUAAUCCUUUUAAGGAAUGAUAUGACAGAGGGCAUCUGGUGAGUCUGAGAAACAU